rfam:Calypte anna contig3936, whole genome shotgun sequence.
CCAAAGGCUCUUUUAAGAGCCACCCACUUACUCACCCAGGAAGAG